GAUGAACGCUGGCGGCGUGCCUAAUACAUGCAAGUCGAGCGAACGGACGAGAAGCUUGCUUCUCUGAUGUUAGCGGCGGACGGGUGAGUAACACGUGGAUAACCUACCUAUAAGACUGGGAUAACUUCGGCAAACCGGAGCUAAUACCGGAUAAUAUUUUGAACCGCAUGGUUCAAAAGUGAAAGACGGUCUUGCUGUCACUUAUAGAUGGAUCCGCGCUGCAUUAGCUAGUUGGUAAGGUAACGGCUUACCAAGGCAACGAUGCAUAGCCGACCUGAGAGGGUGAUCGGCCACACUGGAACUGAGACACGGUCCAGACUCCUACGGGAGGCAGCAGUAGGGAAUCUUCCGCAAUGGGCGAAAGCCUGACGGAGCAACGCCGCGUGAGUGAUGAAGGUCUUCGGAUCGUAAAACUCUGUUAUUAGGGAAGAACAUAUGUGUAAGUAACUGUGCACAUCUUGACGGUACCUAAUCAGAAAGCCACGGCUAACUACGUG
rnacentral:rRNA from 1 species